rnacentral:lncRNA from 1 species
UCAGGAUUUAUAACACUAGCUGGAUUUUUUGCUUUCUUUGGGGUUCAUGAAGCAUGGUGUUGUGAGAUACCACAGGAGUCCCAGAGUAAAGUUACAUACCUAUUUCUCUUCCUUAUUUUUAUUUUUUUGGCAUGUUCAUACUAUUUUAUUACCAACAUCGUUGGCAUCCCUGAGUAUGAGAGUUCAGAAGAAACUUAGAGGCUAUUGUCUGAUUCAAUCCUUGCAGCUUACAAAAAGAAAUGUGGGGAGCAGUCACUGUGUGACUAGCCUGAGGUCACUCAGGAAGUUAGAGGCAGAACUGCAGCCAGGGUCACCUCUCUUUACUGCUACUAGUGUGCUCCUUCUACUGCACCCUGAUCAUAAAACAUCUCCCAACCCAGGAACAAGGUCUACCGCAUAGGUGGGCACAGCAGCGUGAUCACUCUCUCAGUCGUCUGUACUCCUCCUUUGCUUUGACCAAAGACACAGGAAGGGACCUUUUGCCCCACAUAAAACACCUCUCAGAGGCUUGGCAACAACAACAGAUAAUAGAGAGCAUUGACCUAAGACCAACAUUUCAACCAUGGUGUCAAAACAAUAUUUUAUUUCAGCAAAGAAAAACUAUGUCACAAGUGGAUUAUUAUUACUAAUAAUCAGACUAGUGGUACUUGCGAAUGACUUGGUUUCAUACUCACACUUGGACAACUAUGCACACUGAGUAUAACUGACCUUAUGAGAACAUCAUUCUCACUAAGAUUAUGAUGUGCUUUCUCACGUGGGAACUGUACAUAAUAUUGCGUGUACACUUGGGAGGAUGUCCUGCCUGUGAUGUUGUCUUUCAGGGGAAGAAGAAUGGUUGAGAACUGAGGGUAUAUUAAACAUUUACUCCUCCAGAUUUUUCAAGAUUUCUGUUAAGCCAGAUCAGAAGAAAGCCAUCUAUUUGGAUUGCAUCACUCUAACCUGGAGAAAGAGUGGUGGCAUCGGCAGGAAAGUGCAGUGGAAAGGAGGAGCUGACUUUGGCAGGAAAAAGAACGAUAUUACUUUGAAUUUAUCAACUCUGACGUAACAUCCUGAUAAAAAGUGCCAUAUCCAAAUCACGUUGAAGAUUCUCAAAGGACAGUACCAAAGUUGAAUAAAAACACAGUGCCUCAAAUGGGAAGUGGUAUAGAAAGGCCUGAGGCUGGGGUAUGGAGGCACACGGUGUGCCGAGAACGAGGGAAGAGAAGAGUGAACAACUGCUCGGGGUCGGGUUGCAUUGAUGGCGAGAGAUGGGUGUAACAUGCAUUUAUGAGGACAGACAUGAUCAGGUUUAAAGAAAAAGAAUUUUUUCUUUUUCCAGCAGUCCCACUAUGGGGCAUUUAUCUACAGGAAAGGAAAUCAGCAUAUUUAGGAGAUACCUGCACCCUCAUGUUUAUAGCAGCCACUAUUCACAGUAGCCAAGAUUAGAAUCAACCUAAAUGUCCAAAAACAUAAUAGAUUAAAAAUGUAGUAUCUAUUCACAGUGGAGUACUAUUUAGCCGUAAAAAUAAUGAAAUCCUGUCCUUGGCUGCAACAUGGAUCAGCCUGGAACACUACAUUAAGUGAAAUAACCUAGGCACAGAAUUAUAAAUCUUGCAUGUUCUCACUCAUAUGUGGGAGCUAAAAAAAAACGAACUGAGCUCAUGGAAGUGGAGAGUAGAAUUCUGGUUAUUACAGGCUGGGGAGAGCAACAGGGAGAAGAGGACAGGGAGAGGUUGGUUAACAAAUACAAACUUACAGCUAGAUAGGAGUAAUGAGCACACCUAUGACACCAAGCUGGGAAUCGACAAGUGUGACAACUCCUCCACGUCCCUGAAGAUGGGAUACACGCAGGGCGCUCAUCAGAGCGGCCAGGCCUUCGGCAUGGGCCUACAGAUAUACGACCCCAGGUACUACUGGGGAGGCCCAGUGGCCCACGGCGCUCCCUCGGGCUCCGGCCCCUGAAUAUCUCCCUUACUACCAGGAGGAGACCGGCUACUGA